rnacentral:lncRNA from 1 species
GAAGCAGCAGAUCCUACUCCAGGGUAGCACUGCUGUACAGGAAAAAUGGUUUAUUUCCCUUUCAGAGAUCUCCUUUUAAAUAACCAACAAGGAGAAGGAGAAGGAGAAGGGGAAAGAGGAGAGAGAAAAGGAGAGGGAGAAGAAGGAAAAUCCUUUCUUCUGUGGAAUCUGUUUCACAAAGGCAAAUUAAGCAAAGGGAAGAGGCAUAGGAAUUUUGUGAUCUUCAUAACUUCAGACUUGCUUUUAGGAGAGGAAGAGUCACAUUCUGGAAAUGCCUGUGCCUCUGUGUUAACAGUAGAAGUCAGUCCAAGGCCAGUGAUUGUUAAGUAUUACCUUAAUUGA